ensembl:lncRNA
GCAAUAUCCCCACGUGCCACUAGGUGGGGACAACGAAGACACCACAGACGUGAACAAAAGGACGAGCUGCAAAGGACGACUUUCUUAAAUGAAUUAAGAAGGGCCAAAUUUGCAUGCAUGAGAAACAGACGUGUGUUUCUAGCAAGUCUUCAGAACCACCAGCCUAGCCACAUGGAACCUUGUAUUUAGAAGUGGUGUCAAGGACUGGGCCAAAGUGUGCCUAACUUCAGUUCCAGCAUAAGAAUGUGUAGACUUCUUAGGGUUCCUG